rnacentral:tRNA from 1 species
GCUCGGAUGGUGGAAUUGGUAGACACGUUGGACUUAAAAUCCAAUGACCAUUAACGGUCGUGCGGGUUCAAGUCCCGCUCCGAGUACCA